AUCAAUUUUCAGGAUUCCAGCUCUUACCCUUUUUCCCAAUAUCGAAUUUAGUACUAUAAAUUCGGUAUUGGGAAAAGGGUAAGAGCUGGAAUCCUGAAAAUUGA
rnacentral:pre_miRNA from 1 species